AGAAAGUUGGGAAGUAGAUAGCUACCCCAAAUCAACUCGAAUCAAAGGAAAAACUUCCAUAGAAAGUAGUGAGUUCUUUAAAUAGUUUUCAUUUUUUUAUGGGCUUUAUGGGUGUUGAUUCUAAUGAAUUUUAAAGAGUUCAAAUGAUUUAUGGAGCUUCUUAAAAUCUAAGGGUAAGGGAAAUUAUAAAUUUUAGCAUGAAAUAAAUGUUUGUGAAACUACCGUUAGAAUCCUGCAUUUUUAUAUAUAAUGUGUAUGAUGUAUUCAAAUUUGUGAUGUUAUGAAUUGAUAUAAAUCUAAAGAAUAGAUUAAAUUUUGACGAGUGAAACACGGGGUUUGUAUAUUUUAGAACUUCAAGCGUACCUCAUUACUACCUCAUUACCUCUGAUUUCCAAUUUAUGAUUCUGGGCAUUUGACUCUGGUUGUUGUUUUAUGUUUUUGUGCAAUUUGACUUUGAUUUCCUUUUACGGUAUUGAAUAUUUUUCCUCGGUAAUAUUCUAUUUUUUCAUGAUUGUCAAUAUGUUUUGAUGACAUGUUAUGAGUUUUAUUCAUAAUGAUAUGUCUUGAGUAUUCUAUGUGAAAAAGUGUUGACAAAUUAUUAGGGUUAAAUGAGUAUUAAAAGUAAAGUCUUUUCAUAGUUGCACUCACAUAAUAAUUCAUGUGAAAGAGUUAGAGUACACUCAUCCAUUUCAUAGUUGGUUGUGACCGUAAUGAACCGCAUGGUUCUUCCUGGUAUUGAUGCUCAACCUUAUCCUUACAAGGAUUUUUGAGUCCUACUAGUCUGAGAGACUUUGCACAUAGAGUUUGUGAGAUAUUGCACAUUGGUAAAUAGUAUUGGUCUUUGAGAGGCUAUACAUUUAUGAUUUACGCAUUUCGAAGAGAGUUUUGAAAUUUUGAAAUCAUGUUCACUGACAUAUAAGUAUNNNNNNNNNNNNUAUAUAUAUAUAUAUAUAUAUAUAUACUCUAUGUAUUAUUUAUGAUCAUGCCAUAAUUGUUAAAUGUUAAUUGUUAAUUUCAGUUAGUAACCAUUUACAUUAUUGUAGAAUUUGAUCUUUUCCCUCAGACGAUGCUAGACUUCAUUGUACAUACACGGGAAGAAUAGUGAUAACUAGUAGGAAGGUUGAUGCAGUAUUCCUUGUGGGAUUCACACACAAGAGGAUCUACUACCACAUACCUUUAGGAUUGGUACUCGUGGCGAGUGGAGCAUGAGCAAAUGUAGAGGUUGUUUCAGCUAGAGAAGACAUGGAGGCCAUCGUGGGUGUGUCAACUCCCACAAUAGAGGCAAUAGGCGUGGUGUUUGGACUAAGGGCUAAUGCCAAUAGGAAAAAUCGAGAUUCGGUGUGGGACUCACACACGAGAGGAUCAACUACCAUGUACCUUCAGAAUUGGUAUUUGUGGCGAGUGGAGCAUGGGCGAAUGUAGAGGAAGCUUCAGCUAGAGGAAGAUGGAUUCCACCGUGGGUGUGUCGACUCCCACAAUAGAAGCAAUUGUUGCGUUGUUUGGACCAAGGGCUAAUGCCGACAUGAAACGACGUUGCAAGACCAUCUAGGUUAUGGGAUGACUUUAUAUAUGACAUGCAACGUCAUCUCUUGUCGGUAUUCGACAGAUCCAUGUAUGGAUGAUAAGGAGGAUGAGGUUACUUCAUUGAGAGAUAUUGCGCUAUACAAGACUUGUAUGGUAUGUAUAGGUUGCACUUGUUACUGUGGUUGUAAGUGGAUGAUUCAGUUAGGAUUUUUUGUUGUAUAGGGCUUUAUUGCCUCUCUUUUGGUGGUUCUAAUUAUUUGGUUAUGGGAUGACUUUAUAUAUGACAUAUAUUGACAAUUGAUUUUUAUUGGUGGAUCCAAUUUCCAUUUUUUUGACGUGAUCUUAGGGGGAUAGCAUUAUUGGAGCAGCACUUAUGUGUAGGUGCCUGUCGAGAAUACUCUAGGGGUAUGAGAAAUGUUUUGAUAGGUCCAUAACUCUGGUGUAUUUUCUGGUUGUAUUCUUCUGAUUACUAUCUCAAAGUUAUCUUUGCUUUCUUGCAUA
rnacentral:lncRNA from 1 species